rnacentral:rRNA from 1 species
UACGUAGGGGACGAGCGUUGUCCGGAUUCAUUGGGCGUAAAGCGCGCGUAGGCGGCUCGGAAAGUCGGGCGUGAAAUGCCGGGGCUCAACCCCGGGACUGCGUCCGAUACUCCCGGGCUGGAGGCAGGUAGGGGAGAUCGGAAUUCCUGGUGUAGCGGUGAAAUGCGCAGAUAUCAGGAGGAACACCGGUGGCGAAGGCGGAUCUCUGGGCCUUGCCUGACGCUGAGGCGCGAAAGCUAGGGGGAGCGAACAGG